GCAUACUCUGUAACGCCCCGAAUUCUCUAGCAACCCGGAACGUUACCAAACGUGAAUUGAUUAAUAAAGUGCUUGAGGCAAAUACAUUUUAAUAUAACGAGGAAUUCAGUAAAAAUUGAACAACCUUAACAAAAGGUAAAUUAAAUUAAAUAACAUAUGCGGAACAAUUUGGAAUCAUAUCUUUUAUCAAACAUUAAUAAAAGUAGUUCUAACAAAUAAUAAAAAUAGGACUAAUUGAAAGUUAUGACGUGACUCACAAUUGAGUCUAAAUUUAAAAAUAAUAAUAAUCAACUGUUAAUAAAUAUUCUAGUGUUUCUAAAAAUUAAAGUACUUCAUGAUGGAGAUCCAUUGGUCCAAUAUGCAUCCAUCCACCGUCGUCCAGCAUACUAAUUUCUACCUGAAAAUUGUAAAUAGAGAGGGAUGAGUAUAACGAAUUAUACUCAAUGAGGUGCUUGCUACUCCACAUUCAAAUCAAACGUGAAAUUAUGCAUAAAUUCUCUUACCAACAUAACAUGAGAAUUAUCACACCAUGACAAAUGAUAAUUCAAGCAAGCGCUGCAAAUAACGUGAAGGCUAAAUUGUGCCUUAAACUGUAUCAUGAUUUCUCCCAAAAGAGCUCUGAACUGAAGUAAUUAAAUCCAUACAUAACAACGUUUUUGAAAAGAUGUGGACAAACCACUAAUAGCACUGAGCAUCUCACCUUUUGAAGAUGAACGUGGAAAGUAAAAUUGCUGAAAACGUGAUUCUUUAUUGCAAUUCCAAAGCCUUAAAAAGCCUUAAUAAUAUGGAGAAAUAUUUUAAAGAGGAGGAGAGAAUAAAGACGCGCAGAAGAAGAAUGAGGAAUUAAUUACUGAAUGCUUGAGGCUUAGUGCUAUAUUUAUACUAAACCACGGUGUAGGGUAAUCACGUGGGGAGUGGAAUUUCACUGAAAUUAGAACUCUAAAUUUCGUCCAAGUACAUCCCAGAAAUUUGGUUUGGAAAUCCUAACCUCCUGUUUGAUAUAAUCUGACUUGGGGAUUAACUUUUGAUAUUGGGGCCCAAACCAACUACUAUAAUAAUGAGGAGACAUUACUGGAGCAUAUCCUUUGCACACGUGAUCAUUAGGAUAAGUUUAGUCUAAAAUAACUAAUAGUUUAUGCAUACUAAUUAAAUAUUAACCAUAAACUUAAUUAAUUAAAUAGUAGACUACAUAAAUAAUAUAUGGAGUUUGUUAA
rnacentral:lncRNA from 1 species